CAAGACCACCAAUGUAGAUGUCUCGUUCAACCUGAGGGAGAGAGCGCAUGGAAGUGAAAGAAGAUAGGAAAGUGCAGUCUGGAGGUCUACUUGCAGUUAAGCAACUUUAUUUUUAGUGGCUAUUGAGAAGAGUUAGAAAUACCUGAGGGCUACAAUGUGUGCCAAAGAUUGCAAAGGAAGAGUCAACAUUUCAUACUAAGUUGUAAGGCCAGAUGCCUCAUCAGGAGCCUGGACAGCUACCCAGCUCUGCACUCAGCACCCAGCUCUGCACUCAGCACUCAGUUGUGCACCCAGUCCUCCAGUCGGGAAUUCCGGCUGAUGCAACCCUAACCAAAUCUUGCACCAAAAAACCCGCCCAACAACCCAACAACCAAUAGGAGCCCAAUCCCACUCCCCCAGAGCC